GCUGGACACAUGUGUAGCUCGCAACAUCAUCUUCAAGCCUGGAUCAGUAAAGUUAGAACGUCUAACUUGCAAGAUAAUAGAUAUGAUCUAUUAUAUUUUACAUACAUUAGAUGUAGUAUAGAAACAUGUUGAUAUGAUCAACAUGUAGUUCUUGCUCUUUAUAUUUUAAUUUUUGAUUUAAUGUCAUGUAAUAAUCAUGUAAUAAGAUCUUAGAUCUAAAAAUUUUCUAAUUUUAUAAGAUAAAUUUAGAUUUAUUUUAGUCUUCUACUGUCUGAUCAUGAAAAAGUUUCAAGAUCUAACCCUGAAACCCU
rnacentral:lncRNA from 1 species